rnacentral:rRNA from 1 species
AGUGAACGCUGGCGGUAGGCCUAACACAUGCAAGUCGAACGGCAGCACAGUAAGAGCUUGCUCUUACGGGUGGCGAGUGGCGGACGGGUGAGGAAUACAUCGGAAUCUACUUUUUCGUGGGGGAUAACGUAGGGAAACUUACGCUAAUACCGCAUACGACCUACGGGUGAAAGCAGGGGAUCUUCGGACCUUGCGCGAUUGAAUGAGCCGAUGUCGGAUUAGCUAGUUGGCGGGGUAAAGGCCCACCAAGGCGACGAUCCGUAGCUGGUCUGAGAGGAUGAUCAGCCACACUGGAACUGAGACACGGUCCAGACUCCUACGGGAGGCAGCAGUGGGGAAUAUUGGACAAUGGGCGCAAGCCUGAUCCAGCCAUACCGCGUGGGUGAAGAAGGCCUUCGGGUUGUAAAGCCCCUUUGUUGGGAAAGAAAAGCAGCAGGUUAAUACCCCGCUGUUCUGACGGUACCCAAAGAAUAAGCACCGGCUAACUUCG